rnacentral:rRNA from 1 species
AGUGAACGCUGGCGGUAGGCCUAACACAUGCAAGUCGAACGGCAGCACAGUAAGAGCUUGCUCUUACGGGUGGCGAGUGGCGGACGGGUGAGGAAUACAUCGGAAUCUACUUUUUCGUGGGGGAUAACGUAGGGAAACUUACGCUAAUACCGCAUACGACCUACGGGUGAAAGCAGGGGAUCUUCGGACCUUGCGCGAUUGAAUGAGCCGAUGUCGGAUUAGCUAGUUGGCGGGGUAAAGGCCCACCAAGGCGACGAUCCGUAGCUGGUCUGAGAGGAUGAUCAGCCACACUGGAACUGAGACGCGGUCCAGACUCCUACGGGAGGCAGCAGUGGGGAAUAUUGGACAAUGGGCGCAAGCAUGAUCCAGCCAUACCGAGUGGGUGAAGAAGGCCUUCGGGUUGUAAAGCCCUUUUGUUGGGAAAGAAAAGCAGCAGGUUAAUACCCCGCUGUUCUGACGGUACCCAAAGAAUAAGCACCGGCUAACUUCGUG